rnacentral:rRNA from 1 species
UACGGGGGGAGCAAGCGUUGUUCGGAUUUACUGGGCGUAAAGGGCGCGUAGGCGGCCACCGCAGGUCGGUUGUGAAAUCUCCGGGCUUAACCCGGAAAGGUCAAUCGAUACUGCGGGGCAGAGUGCAGAAGGGGCAACUGGAAAUUCUCGGUGUAGCGGUGAAAAUGCGUAGAUAUUGGGAGGAACACCAGUGGCGAAGGCGGUCCCCCUGGGCCGGAA